GUGCGUCUGCUAUCUGAAGGCCCCUAUCCCGGGGAAAGUGGUACAACCCUCCUGGAGCUGACCUCUGACCUCCUGUUAUGUGAGAAGUGCAGUCUGGGUGUAGCACAGAUCUCCAAACUUGUCACUAUGGUGCAGAACAGCGGAACAUGUUUGAAAAGGAUGUGCUGCCAGCCUUCCUGCAGUACUGCACCUGUGUGUGUGAGACAGGUGAAACAGAUACAGGUAUGCUGCAGGUGCUGACUCAGCUGGUUCUGCUGAAGAGACCCCCACCUGACACAGGUGCGGCCUUACCUGCCUGGGACAGGUAUCCUCUCCACUUCAAGGAACAGAAUAA